UACGAAGGGGGCUAGCGUUGCUCGGAAUCACUGGGCGUAGAGCGCACGUAGGCGGAUUUCUAAGUCAGGGGUGAAAUCCUGGAGCUCAACUCUAGAACUGCCUUUGAUACUGGGAAUCUCGAGUCCGGGAGAGGUGAGUGGAACUGCGAGUGUAGAGGUGAAAUUCGUAGAUAUUCGCAAGAACACCAGUGGCGAAGGCGGCUCACUGGCCCGGUACUGACGCUGAGGUGCGAAAGCGUGGGGAGCAAACAGG
rnacentral:rRNA from 1 species